AGAUUGAACGCUGGCGGCAUGCUUUACACAUGCAAGUCGAACGGUAACAGGCCGCAAGGUGCUGACGAGUGGCGAACGGGUGAGUAAUGCAUCGGAACGUGCCCAGUCGUGGGGGAUAACGCAGCGAAAGCUGUGCUAAUACCGCAUACGAUCUAUGGAUGAAAGCGGGGGACCGAAAGGCCUCGCGCGAUUGGAGCGGUCCGAUGUCAGAUUAGCUAGUUGG
rnacentral:rRNA from 1 species